GAUGAAGAACGUAGCGAAAUGCGAUAAGUAAUGUGAAUUGCAGAAUUCAGUGAAUCAUCGAAUCUUUGAACGCAUCUUGCGCUCCUUGGUAUUCUGAGGAGCAUGCCUGUUUGGGUGUCAUUAAAUUCUCAACUACACUGACUUUGAAUUGGUGUGGCUUGGAUUUGGGGGGAAAAUUGUUGUGGGCUUUUUGUAUAGUCUGCUCCCCUGAAAUUGAUUAGCGGUACCUUUGUGGAACUGUCUACAGGUGUGAUAAUUAUCUACAUCUUAGACAUCUGCUGGAAUGCUGCUUUCUAAACCUUACUUGUAUUGACAAUCUUGACCUCAAAUCAGGUAGGACUACCCGCUGAACUUAAGCAUAUCAAUAAGCGGAGGA
rnacentral:misc_RNA from 1 species